rnacentral:rRNA from 1 species
GACGAACGCUGGCGGCGUGCCUAACACAUGCAAGUCGAGCGGAGACAGUGAGUAGCUUGCUAUGAACUGUUUUAGCGGCGGACGGGUGAGUAACGCGUGAGCAACCUUUCCCAGACAGGGGAAUAACACACCGAAAGGUGUACUAAUACCGCAUAAGACCACGGGAUCACAUGGUUCCGGGGUAAAAGAUUUAUCGGUUUGGGGUGGGCUCGCGUCCGAUUAGGUAGUUGGUGAGGUAACGGCCCACCAAGCCGACGAUCGGUAGCCGACCUGAGAGGGUGAUCGGCCACAUUGGGACUGAGACACGGCCCAAACUCCUACGGGAGGCAGCAGUGGGGAAUAUUGGGCAAUGGGGGGAACCCUGACCCAGCAACGCCGCGUGGAGGAA